rnacentral:tRNA from 1 species
UCCGGUGUAGGUACUAGCGUUGUGCACAAACGUGAAUGUGUUGGUUCGAGUCCAACUGCCGGAACCA